rnacentral:rRNA from 1 species
UACGGAGGAUGCAAGCGUUAUCCGGAUUUAUUGGGUUUAAAGGGUGCGCAGGCGGCGCGAUAAGUCAGCGGUGAAAUACCACGGCUCAACCGUGGGGCUGCCGUUGAUACUGUUGCGCUAGAGUCCGAACGGCGCCGGCGGAAUGUGUCAUGUAGCGGUGAAAUGCAUAGAGAUGACACAGAACACCGAUCGCGAAGGCAGCUGGCGAGGACGCGACUGACGCUGAGGCACGAAAGCGUGGGGAUCAAAC